ACGGAGGGUGCGAGCGUUAAUCGGAAUUACUGGGCGUAAAGCGUGCGUAGGCGGUUCGUUAAGUCAGAUGUGAAAGCCCUGGGCUCAACCUGGGAACUGCAUUUGAAACUGGCGGACUAGAGUUUAGUAGAGGGGAGUGGAAUUUCAGGUGUAGCGGUGAAAUGCGUAGAUAUCUGAAGGAACACCAGUGGCGAAGGCGACUCCCUGGACUAGAACUGACGCUGAGGUACGAAAGCGUGGGUAGCAAACAGG
rnacentral:rRNA from 1 species